rnacentral:lncRNA from 1 species
CUAUAUGGCCCCAUUCAUCUCCCCACACCUUAGCUCAGGUGUCUCCCCUUCACACAUGAGUUACUUUUUCUGUGUGUCUCUCUAGGGAGGCUACCCUGCUGCUGCUGCUGCCGCCGCCGCCGCCUAUCGCUACGCCCAGCCAGCAGCCGUAACCGGAGCAACCGCUGCAGCUGCCGCCUACAGUGACAGUUAUGGCCGGGUGUACACUACAGAUCCCUACCACGGUUUAACUCCAGCUGCUGCUGCUUACGGAGUGGGAGCCAUGCAGGACAUUGCACUCACAUUGCAAGCCAGUUUAUACCGGGCAGGAUACAGUAGGUUUGCUCCUUACUAAAACCACAAAUCCCACCCGAGGAAUUUCACAUCGCUCCAAAAAACCCUUUUUCAAGCUCUUUGUUUGGCAGCAGCUCCCCUCCAUUUCUCUGCAGGCGGACUCUAGUGACAACUCGUGUGUUUCUUUGUUUUUCUGUCUUUUUUCUUUUGUGGCGAGAGAGGUCAUUUGCCACAUCAUCAACUCAAACUCUGUUUUCUGUACUCUGUGUCCGUCGCUGACACGGAAACAACGACUUAAACUGCCAGGAGUGUCUCCCACAUAAAACAAAAAGCCAGAGCCUGCUACUUUGAACUACGGGGCAAAAUUUAGGACGGUUUUUAAAACACUACGGGACCUGGAAGGAGAGAGACUGCUGUUCCUGUGCCGUCCUGCACACCUUUCCCCCUCUGAACUUACAGUAUGUCCACUGCCCUGUAAGCCCUAAUCAGACCUAUAUACACACACUUACUACAAGUAUACAGUUUCCUCCACAUUUUGCUUUAGUGUUGGCCCACACAGAAUGAUGCCACCGCACAGCAUUACUAUAGAAGGUACUUCUGUUUUUAAACACUACAUUGACGUAAAGCUACAGCCCCGUGCAGCAGAGACGGACGUCCCUCUGGUUUAACAUCGUGGUGUAAUAAUGAAACUCGGACUACACGAUACAGAAGACGUAGGAAUUAUUCUUGUUGUUUUGUAAAGCUGGAGCACCGAACAUUCACCCGGAGGGAACUGGGAGCAUCUUGACUGACAGAAACCACUGUUGUCCUGGCAACGACAAACAUUGCAUGAAAAAAAAAUCUUCUUUUUUUCAUUCUCCAGCAUUUCACGACUCCCCCCCCCCCCCCCCCCCCCCCCCCGAAUCUAAAAGGAAACACAAGAAAACAAAAUGUAAAAAAAAAAAUGUAAAAACGAAAGAAAUUCAAAAAAACGUGAAAGUGACGAGGAAAGAAAACAAGUGACUUUGUUUCUGCAUUACCUCACUUUUUAUUUUAUUUAGUUUCGCUGCCAUUGAUAGGAAGUUGCAUAGAAAAGUCGUUAUAUAUUCAGCCAUUCAUUUGUCCUCAUUGCUGUUCUACACAUUCUCCACUUAUAGCUGUAAACAACACUAAGACGGGACGUGGACAGUUUGAGCCGACCCUGUAUGUAUUCAGUGCACCUCCCCUCUAAAGGCUCAUCCUCGAUGUGCUCGUAGCGCUCCUUUCAAAAAAGGACCCGGCCCAUUUCUCUCUCCGUCUCCUAAACCCGUCAGACAUUCCAGCUGUAGCAGCGAAUGAACGGGUCGGACGGACAAACUCACCGAACACACGUGAACUAGAUUUAGCAGAUUUUGAAGCAGGAACACCCACACAGGGAACUCAUCAUCCGCCAAAUGGGAAUCCCUCCUGGCCAAUAAGAGAUAUUUCUGCCUCCAGGCUUCGGGUAGGCCACAUUAGAAUACAUUUGAAACAAAGAGAUCGCAGUCAUGUAAUGAGAAUUCAUCAUUGUUCUAUUUAUAUUCAUCCUUUUUAAUGUGACAGGACACUACAUGAUUUUGUCAUUUUAAAUCCGUCAUUAUGCUCUCUGGGAUUGUUCGGUCCGAGUAGUUUUAAAGUUCUCCUUACCGGUCA